UUGUCACCACCAAAAUCAUC
rnacentral:piRNA from 1 species